rnacentral:rRNA from 1 species
AUUGAACGCUGGCGGCAUGCUUUGCACAUGCAAGUCGAACGGCAGCGGGGAGGAGCUUGCUUCUCUGCCGGCGAGUGGCGACCGGGUGAGUAAUACAUCGGAACGUGUCGAGAAGAGGGGGAUAACCACCCGAAAGGGUGGCUAAUACCGCAUAAAUUCUGAGGAAGAAGGCUGGGGACCUGGGAAUAGGCCUAGCGCUUUUUGAGCGGCCGAUGUCGGAUUAGCUAGUUGGUGAGGUAAAGGCUCACCAAGGCGAAGAUCUGUAGCGGGUCUGAGAGGAUGAUCCGCCACACUGGGACUGAGACACGGCCCAGACUCCUACGGGAGGCAGCAGUGGGGAAUUUUGGACAAUGGGGGCAACCCUGAUCCAGCCAUGCCGCGUGUAUGAAGAAGGCCUUAGGGUUGUAAAGUACUUUUGUUAGGGAAGAAAAGUCAGCUGUGAAUAAUGGCUGAUACUGACGGUACCUAAAGAAUAAGCACCGGCUAACUACGUG